rnacentral:tRNA from 1 species
GGAUUUAGCUCAGUGGUAGAGUGCUUGCCUAGCAAGCACAAGGCCCUGGGUUCGGUCCCCAGAUCCG